rnacentral:rRNA from 1 species
GUGGGGAAUAUUGGACAAUGGGCGCAAGCCUGAUCCAGCCAUGCCGCGUGAGUGAUGAAGGCCUUAGGGUUGUAAAGCUCUUUCAGUGGGGACGAUAAUGACGGUACCCACAGAAGAAGCCCCGGCUAACUUCGUGCCAGCAGCCGCGGUAAUACGAAGGGGGCUAGCGUUGUUCGGAUUUACUGGGCGUAAAGCGCACGUAGGCGGAUUGGUCAGUUAGAGGUGAAAUCCUGGAGCUCAACUCCAGAACUGCCUUUAAUACUGCCAGUCUAGAGUCCAGAAGAGGUGAGUGGAACUCCUAGUGUAGAGGUGGAAUUCGUAGAUAUUAGGAAGAACACCAGUGGCGAAGGCGGCUCACUGGUCUGGUACUGACGCUGAGGUGCGAAAGCGUGGGGAGCAAACAGGAUUAGAAACCCCGGUAGUCC